rnacentral:misc_RNA from 1 species
UUACAGAGACGCUGUGACGAAAGGA